AGAGUUUGAUCCUGGCUCAGGAUGAACGCUGGCGGCGUGCCUAAUACAUGCAAGUCGAGCGGUAAGGCUCCUUCGGGAGUACACGAGCGGCGGACGGCUGAGUAACACGUAGGAACAUACCCCAAACUGAGGGAUAACUGCUCGAAAGAGUAGCUAAUACCGCAUGUGCUCUUCGGAGUAAAGCUACGGCGGUUUGGGAA
rnacentral:rRNA from 1 species